GACAGAGGUGCCAAGCGUUAAUCGGAAUUACUGGGCGUAAAGCGUGCGCAGGCGGUUUUGUAAGUCUGUCGUGAAAGCCCCGGGCUCAACCUGGGAAUUGCGAUGGAGACUGCAAGGCUUGAAUCUGGCAGAGGGGGGUAGAAUUCCACGUGUAGCAGUGAAAUGCGUAGAGAUGUGGAGGAACACCGAUGGCGAAGGCAGCCCCCUGGGUCAAGAUUGACGCUCAUGCACGAAAGCGUGGGGAGCAAACAGG
rnacentral:rRNA from 1 species